rnacentral:rRNA from 1 species
GAUGAGCGCUGGCGGCGUGCCUAAUACAUGCAAGUCGAGCGAACAGACGAGGAGCUUGCUCCUCUGACGUUAGCGGCGGACGGGUGAGUAACACGUGGAUAACCUACCUAUAAGACUGGGAUAACUUCGGGAAACCGGAGCUAAUACCGGAUAAUAUAUUGAACCGCAUGGUUCAAUAGUGAAAGACGGUUUUGCUGUCACUUAUAGAUGGAUCCGCGCCGCAUUAGCUAGUUGGUAAGGUAACGGCUUACCAAGGCAACGAUGCGUAGCCGACCUGAGAGGGUGAUCGGCCACACUGGAACUGAGACACGGUCCAGACUCCUACGGGAGGCAGCAGUAGGGAAUCUUCCGCAAUGGGCGAAAGCUUGACGGAGCAACGCCGCGUGAGUGAUGAAGGUCUUCGGAUCGUAAAACUCUGUUAUUAGGGAAGAACAAAUGUGUAAGUAACUAUGCACGUCUUGACGGUACCUAAUCAGAAAGCCACGGCUAACUACGUG